AGAUCAAAAAUGGACAGCACGUAUCUGGUUGGGAAGAACAGGUAACAGAGAUCAAGUAUCACGUGGGGUGGAACAUGGACAAAGCUGCCGUCUCUUCUGAAAUUCCCGACAAAAAGCAGCCUCGGCUAGGUUUAUUCGGAAUUUUUCUAGUCAAACAUGCCACCAACACUUGUUUCGUGUUGUGUAGAAAGGUAAAUAAAGGAGACAAAGCCCAGUGUGCAUUAUGGGUGCUGCCGGAAGUAUUAAAACAAGAUAUGAAUGAGUGCUAUAUGCCAUUUAUUUCAGAAUGUAUCAGAGAAGGUGCACGUGUGUAUGUGUACAAUAAAAGUGAAUGCA